GUUUCCCGGUGCUUCAUGUGGCAGAUGCCACAUUUGCAGGUCCAGAGAGGUGAUGUGAGGCACUGGCGCAGGUGAAGCCUGAGCAGAACCCCAAAGUUGGAACUUCGGCUUAUUUACGCUCUAUCAGUUUAUGCCUCACGUAUUUUGAUGCUCCAUUGUUGGGUGCCCACACAACAAGGAAUUAUCCUGUUUUCUUGGAGUAAAGACCCUAUGAUCACUUGGACUAAUGAGGGACAUAAAAGGCAGCCACUGGUGCAGCCAGCCCAGGCCUGAAGCACCAGCGGAGAGAAGGGCUCGUCAGUAGAAUGUCCAGUCAUUGGAGCCGAGAGGAGGAAUGGGGAGGCUGCCACUGGGCUCUAAGCACUGCAGCAACUUCAGGGUGAGAACUGAGGCCAAGGGCUAUCGUAAACUCCUGGUGGGCUACAACACAGCCAUGUCCGUCUGAGUGCUGGGAUCACCAUCGCUGCCUACCUGCCCUUCAAGGUCCUUGUGGAUGUUGCUCAUUUCUCCUGCAAAGCCUACCUGUCUGGAGCUAAUUGAUAGAGGCAGCACAGAGAGACUGGUGCCAUCAGAGGAAGAUGGUCAUCGCCUUGGUUUCCAAGAGAAGGGGCCGGCCACACCAUACGGUGCAGGGCCACAGAGGGGAAGCACCAUUGCCACAGGGAGCUGGAGCCUAACUCAGAGAAGACACAUCAGCAUGGUCCCAGGGGGAAAGACAACUUUGUGCACAUUGAGAAGAGCCCCAACAAAACUUGUGUCGUCUGCAUGAUCAGUGUGGGCCUGACGCUGCUCAAGUGUGGAACAUGGAGCACCUGGGCCUCUCCAACUUCAUCCCACUGCUGGUCCUUCUGGCCAUCUCUCCAGAGCCAUGUGGAGUCUGGAUGGUGGGGGAUUUCCUCUUUCUGGUCACCAUUUUGGUCAGCCUAGAAGGUAAGAGAGACCCUGGCCAAGGGAAACCUGUGGAGAGAUCGGCACUUGCAUAGAUGAGCAGGAAAUCUCAAGGAGAUGCUUGGUGCUGGUCGCUGAUAGA